UACGUAGGGGGCAAGCGUUGUCCGGAAUCAUUGGGCGUAAAGCGCGCGUAGGCGGCCCGGUAAGUCCGCUGUAAAAGUCCAGGGCUCAACCCUGGAAUGCCGGUGGAUACUGUCGGGCUAGAGUCCGGAAGAGGCGAGUGGAAUUCCUGGUGUAGCGGUGGAAUGCGCAGAUAUCAGGAGGAACACCGAUGGCGAAGGCAGCUCGCUGGGACGGUACUGACGCUGAGACGCGAAAGCGUGGGGAGCGAACAGG
rnacentral:rRNA from 1 species